rnacentral:lncRNA from 1 species
GGGGUACAGCAGUCAACAUGGCAGUUAUCAAAUAGUUCCGUUUCUAUGCGUGUUGUCGUUUGUUUUUGUUGCGCUUCAGUGAUCCUGUUGUUUCUUUGUUUUCUUCUAAUAGUUGAUGUGUUUCAGCUGGGUUUUGGUUUGUAACCCAGAUUUGUUUUUUUUUUUUUUUGAACAUCGGUAUACUACUGUUGUCUUUAUUUAUACGAUAUCUGAUAAAAUUAUAAUAUACCUUAUAAACUAUCUUAAACAUCUUAUAUAAUCCUUUUUUAUUAUUAUUAUACAUCGUAUAUCUCAUAAAAUUUAUAAG